AUGUUAGUUAAAUGCCUCAGUUGCGUGCAGUGCAAUACGUGAUGUAGAUCUGUGACAAACGUGAGUACGUAUCGCUCCAUUCUCAUUUCGAAAUGAUUAUUUCCGCGAUCCCAAAGUGAUUCAGUGUUGAAAUAUUUCAGCCUGUUUUUAUGGCUGAACCACGAUGAUUGAAUCAAUCGGGAAUUAUAUCGAAAGAAAUCAAUGGUAUUAAGGUGGAAUUAAAGAAAUUAUAAAAUGGCUACAAGAACAGAAGAUACAACAUCUAUUGAUAAUACUAAUGACGGAGAAAGUAUGGAUAAAGAGGUAUUAGCAAUUAGUGGAAAUGAUGAAACUAAUCAUCGUAUUCCACCAACAUAUUUGUAUAAUUCAGGUUCUGAACAAAAUACAGGAAUAUCUAAUCAGGAACAAAACAAUAAAAAUCGUACUCAAGCUUCAGAGGAUCAGUUAGGACCUUUACCACCAAAUUGGGAAAAAGCUUUUACAGACACAGGAGAAGUUUAUUUUAUAGAUCACAAUACAGGUACUUCUCACUGGUUAGAUCCACGUUUAUCUAAAUUUCAAAAAAGAUCCCUUGAAGAAUGUUUAGAUGAUGAAUUACCUUAUGGUUGGGAGAAAAUAGAUGACACUCUUUAUGGUACAUAUUUCAUUGAUCAUGUAAAUCGUAGAACUCAAUAUGAAAAUCCUGUAUUGCAAGCCAAACGGGCACAACAAAAUUUAGGAGAAAGAAAGAGUCCUAAUUUUACAAGAAAUCCUGACAAAUUAAAAGGCCAAAAAAUAAGAACAACUUUAAUAAAGAGUACAAGAGGAUUAGGAUUUACAAUUGUUGGUGGAGAUGAUUCAGUGGAAGAAUUUUUACAAAUUAAAAGUGUUGUACCAAAUGGUCCAGCAUGGUUAGAUGGAAAAUUGCAAACAGGAGAUGUAUUAGUCUAUGUUAAUGAUACAUGUGUUCUGGGUUUUACACAUAAUGAAAUGGUAAGUGUUUUCAAAUCAAUUAGCAGUGGCGAAACUGUUACAUUAGAAGUGUGUCGUGGUUAUCCAUUACCAUUUGAUCCAAAUGACCCAAACACAGAAGUGGUUACAACUAUUGCUGUAAAUACUCCAGAUAUUUUAACAGAAGAUCCUAGAUUAUACAUGGAUUUGGAUCCUGCUUUGCAAAAUAAUAGUCGUUUCAAUUUUCUGGAUUCUACAUUCUUGCCAGUACAUAAUCUUCAAAAUGGUGAAAAUCUUGCCACAACUUCUGUCAAUUCAAUGCCAGAUCUUUGUAUUUCGGAUAAAAUUAAUACAAUUAAAAGACCUAGUAGUACAGAUAUUUUAUUAUCUGAAAACAGUGAUUUGAAUGAUUGUAAAGAUUCAUCAACGUCUUCCAAACCAGAAUUUCUCAGUAUUGCAAUUGUGAAAGGUACUAUGGGAUUUGGAUUUACAAUAGCAGAUUCUGCUCAUGGUCAAAAAGUUAAAAAGAUUUUAGACCGUCAACGUUGUAAAAAUUUAAUGGAAGGUGAUAUUUUAGUUAAUAUAAAUGAUAUUAAUGUGAGAAAUAUGUGUCAUUCAGAAGUAGUACAAGUUUUAAAAGAUUGUUCUCGCAAUAAAGAGGCACUAAUACAUGUACAAAGAACAACAUUAAAAUUAAACGAAAAAAAGGAAAAAAAUUCACAAGAUUUUUUUAGAAGUAAAACACCAACAGCUGAUAUUUAUAGCACUCAAACAAAAACUGUUGUACCAAGUCGACCAAAAACUCCACUUAUUGAUACUAGAAAUCGUCCAAAAUCUCCAUCUAGUGCAAUUAGAUCAAAUUGGAAUGAACAAAACGAAAAUGAAUUAAAUCCACUUGAUAACAGAUACAAAUAUUCAGAAUACACACAUAACAUAUAUUAUAAUGAUCCAUAUAAAGCAAAUAUUACAAAUUUAUCUGAUAAUUUUGUUACAAUGACAAAUUUAGAUGAUGAUUCUGUAAGAAAUGGUACAAAAAGAGAUUGGGUUACAAAUGAAAAAUUGAACAUAAAUAAUGAUGUAUAUUCUAUUGAUAUACCUCACCAUGAUAAUAUGUUAAAACAAAAUGGAUGCUUACAUUCAGAUUAUUAUAAAGAUUUAUAUACAUCACAAUCACAUUCUCAGUAUAGUGAACAAGAUUAUAAUGUAUAUUCUAUUGGUCAAGAACAAAAUGUUGAUACUGGUGAAAUAUGGGAUAAACGAAAAGAGACUACUAGUUUUGAGCAUGAACAACCACAUUCCAGUUCAAUACCACGGUAUCCUCAAUAUAGCAACGAAUUAGUGUGUCCGAUUGUGCCUGAUAUAGAAUGGAUAGAAACCUUAGUAACUUUAAUAAGACAAGAUACAGGAUUUGGAUUUAGAAUAGUUGGUGGUACUGAGGAAGGAUCUCAACAGGUUUCAGUUGGACAUAUAGUACCUGGUGGAGCAGCAGACUUAGAUAAUAGAUUAAAUACAGGUGAUCUCAUUAUGUCUGUUGAUGGUGAGAGUGUUAUGAAUUCGUCACAUCAUCAUGUUGUACAAUUAAUGAUAGCUGCUGCUCAGAAUGGUAGAGUCACUUUGGGAAUUCGUCGCCGAAUUAAUACCCAAGAACAUCUUCCAGAAAAUCUCCAAACGUCAUAUAAUAGACAGAUGAAUCUUCAAUAUCCUUAUGAUGUAACGGUCACUAGAAUGGAAAAUGAAGGUUUUGGUUUUGUUAUUAUUUCUUCAGUUAAUAAAGCUGGUUCGACAAUAGGUAGAAUAAUUGAAGGUUCACCCGCCGAAAGAUGCGGGCGAUUAAAUGUUGGCGAUCAUAUUCUUGCCGUCAAUCAUGUAGAUAUUACAAAUGUUUGUCAUAAAGAUAUUGUGAAUUUAAUUAAAGACUCGGGUUAUUCUGUUACAUUAACAAUUGGUUACCCUCUUGAUGAUUGUUGCAGUAAUACAUCUCUAUCUCAAAAGGAUGAACCAACAUGUGAUGGAGAUGGAGGACAAUAUCAUGCUGUUGAAUUAACUCGUGGAACUAGAGGAUUUGGUUUUAGUAUUCGUGGAGGACGUGAAUUUCAAAAUAUGCCAUUAUUUGUUUUACAAAUUGCAGAAAAUGGUCCAGCAUCUAUUGAUAAUCGAUUAAGAGUCGGCGAUCAAAUAAUUGAAAUAAAUGGAAUUAAUACUAAAAAUAUGACACAUACAGAAGCUAUCGAAAUUAUAAGAAAUGGUGGACCAUCUGUUCGACUUUUAGUUCGACGUGGUUGUCAAAUGCCUUCAGUGUGAGAGUUAGAUUAAUACUGUUUUACAGUACUAUGACAUUUGGUACAGAAAUAUCUGGUGCAAACGGAAAACAGUGUUAUAUUGUAUAUUUUAUGGAGUUGGUUAUACAUAAAUGUAGAGUAAUCUUACAAUCGACCAAAUAAGUAUUCGACCGAUUGAUGAAGGCACACCACGCAGACAUUUAUUGAAAUUACACGAGAUGGGUGUGCAUCCUAAAAAACGUCAGAAAGUUCGAUUUUUCAUUUUACUCAACUGCUGUUCAUCUAAAAAUAGAUAUUUAUGAUAAAUAAGCAUUUACAAACAUAAUAUUAUUUUAUUCAUAAUAAGUUAAUAUUUUAUAAAAUUAAAUAUUAAUUCUGAGAAAAAAUUUUUUAACGUCUUUACUAGGUCACUAGAUUUUUUUAUAAAAUUGACCUAUAAUUAUAUAUUGAAAUUCCUUGUAUAAACGAAUUAAUAUGUAAACAAAUACGAUGAAUUGCAAAUGUUAAUACAGUAUAAUCUAUUU
rnacentral:misc_RNA from 1 species